AUUGAACGCUGGCGGCAGGCCUAACACAUGCAAGUCGAACGGUAACAGGAAGAAGCUUGCUUCUUUGCUGACGAGUGGCGGACGGGUGAGUAAUGUCUGGGAAACUGCCUGAUGGAGGGGGAUAACUACUGGAAACGGUAGCUAAUACCGCAUAACGUCGCAAGACCAAAGAGGGGGACCUUCGGGCCUCUUGCCAUCGGAUGUGCCCAGAUGGGAUUAGCUAGUAGGUGGGGUAACGGCUCACCUAGGCGACGAUCCCUAGCUGGUCUGAGAGGAUGACCAGCCACACUGGAACUGAGAAACGGUACAGACUCCUACGGGAGGCAGCAGUGGGGAAUAUUGCACAAAGGGCGCAAGCCUGAUGCAGCCAUGCCGCGUGUAUGAAGAAGGCCUUCGGGUUGUAAAGUACUUUCAGCGGGGAGGAAGGGAGUAAAGUUAAUACCUUUGCUCAUUGACGUUACCCGCAGAAGAAGCACCGGCUAACUCCGUG
rnacentral:rRNA from 1 species